rnacentral:rRNA from 1 species
CGCGGCCUAUCAGCUUGUUGGUGGGGUAAUGGCCUACCAAGGCGACGACGGGUAGCCGGCCUGAGAGGGCGACCGGCCACACUGGGACUGAGACACGGCCCAGACUCCUACGGGAGGCAGCAGUGGGGAAUAUUGCACAAUGGGCGAAAGCCUGAUGCAGCGACGCCGCGUGAGGGAUGAAGGCCUUCGGGUCGUAAACCUCUUUCAGCAGGGAAGAAGCGCAAGUGACGGUACCUGCAGAAGAAGCACCGGCUAACUACGUGCCAGCAGCCGCGGUAAUACGUAGGGUGCGAGCGUUGUCCGGAAUUAUUGGGCGUAAAGAGCUCGUAGGCGGCUUGUCGCGUCGGAUGUGAAAGCCCGGGGCUUAACCCCGGGUCUGCAUUCGAUACGGGCAGGCUAGAGUGUGGUAGGGGAGAUCGGAAUUCCUGGUGUAGCGGUGAAAUGCGCAGAUAUCAGGAGGAACACCGGUGGCGAAGGCGGAUCUCUGGGCCAUUACUGACGCUGAGGAGCGAAAGCGUGGGGAGCGAACAGGAUUAGAUACCCUGGUAGUCCACGCCGUAAACGGUGGGAACUAGGUGUUGGCGACAUUCCACGUCGUCGGUGCCGCAGCUAACGCAUUAAGUUCCCCGC